CUUAAACCCUGCAGUGAGUCCAGAAAGCAGUCAGGACACGGCUGAUCCUGAAGAUGGUGUUUCCUACGCCUCCUUCAGCUACACCAGGAAGACCAACAGUAAAGGCCGGGUUCUGGGUAAAGAUGGUGAUGAUGAAGAUGAUGCAGUGACCUACAGCAGCGUGAAAGCUUCCUCUUCUUCUGCUGGAGCCUCAGCUGAUCAGCUGAUUAAAGCAACAACUGACAUAUGAGAGAAAAAAGAAAGGUCAGUCACAAUGAGGAAGUGACAAAUGACUAAUUAGAGGAAACAGCUACAACUUUUUUCUUUAAGAAGCAACUCGUAGAUUUACAAGUAGAAGAAGCAGAGAGGAAAGAGAGACAGAGA